rnacentral:rRNA from 1 species
CCCGCUGAACUUAAGCAUAUCAAUAAGCGGAGGAAAAGAAACUAACAAGGAUUCCCCUAGUAACGGCGAGUGAAGAGGGAAGAGCUCAAAUUUUGAAUCUGGCACCUUUGGUGUCUGAGUUGUAAUCUAGAGAAGUGCGUUCUGUGGCGGACCGUGCACAAGUCUCCUGGAAUGGAGCAUCAUAGAGGGUGAGAAUCCCGUAUAUGGCAUGGACUCCCGUUGCUCUGUGAAACACUCUCAACGAGUCGAGUUGUUUGGGAAUGCAGCUCCAAAUGGGUGGUAAAUGCCAUCUAAAGCUAAAUAUUGGCGAGAGACCGAUAGCGAACAAGUACCGUGAGGGAAAGAUGAAAAGCACUUUGGAAAGAGAGUGAAACAGUACGUGAAAUUGUUGAAAGGGAAACACUUGAAGUCAGUCGCGUCUGCCGGAACUCAGCCCUGCUUCUGCUUGGCGCACUUUCCGGUCCGACGGGCCAGCAUCGGUUUCGUGGGGCGGACACUGGCGGGGGGAAGGUGGUGGCUCCGGCCGCGUUAUAGCCCUCUGUCGCAAACGUCUCGUGGGACCGAGGAAUCCGGCGCAAGCCUGGGAUGCUGGCGUAAUGGCUUUAAACGACCCGUCUUGAAACACGG